rnacentral:lncRNA from 12 species
CGAAGCAGACUCCCUGCUUAGCAAGGAGCCAAUGUGGGGCUUGAUCCCAGGACCCUGAUAUCAUGACCUAAGCUGAAGGCAGGUGCUUAGCUGACUGAGCCACCCAGAUGCCCCUUGUUACAUUCUUUUAAUUGCUCUUGGUUUCUUCUCUCUCUAGGAAUCCUCCUACCACCUCUUCUUACUUCUUAGCCCCAGAAAAGCAUCCUCAUGCAAAUAAACCCCUAAGAGGAGCCCUGCAUCCACCAACUCAGAUACUUCAUCACCAUACUCGGAAUGGUGAGUUGACAAUACUUCUUAGUGAUUAGGGCAUGGUAAUGUGUUCUGUUGGUAAUUAGUGCAUUAAUGUAGCAUGGAUUGUAUCACUUAACAGUGAUUGAAAGGUAUGGCAGGCUCAG